ensembl:lncRNA LINC02263 long intergenic non-protein coding RNA 2263
UGAGGUGAGAGAGAAACUAGUUCCUUGGAUAACACACCAAAUGGCCAGAAUGUUGAAGGCAUAUUUCACUCCUCUUCUUUCUUCCUUGUCGAGAAGCCUCAGGUUCUGCACCUUCUCCGCUUUCUUGCACAGCCAUGUUGGAUGCAGGAGAUGUUACAAGACAAGAUGAUUUCACUGGAAGCUGAGUUUUGCCAGCUUUGGGGAAAUGCUGAUGCAGGGUAUAUUUCUUCCUCUUAAAGUGUACCUUCCCUGGAGCUUCAGCCUAAUGCCUGAGGUCCUCAGUGAGGUCCCUCCAUUCUUCCUAUCUAAGCUGAAACUUCAACAUCUUCAGGAGUGUGUGACACCUGGUAUGUCUGCUCAGUUCUGAGCUCUGUAGUGACUCCACUGUUGUGUUUUGGAAAACUUGUCAUGUGCACAUGAAUAAUUUAAUCUUAGAUUAUUAAAUUAUUGACUUUAAUACCGCAUGCUUAACUAAGAUAAUUAACAUCAGAAUAUCAUCUAAGAUUUGUCUUCUUAAAAAUCAAGUUUUACCAGAAUCUUAAUAUGAAUUAUAAAAUUAAUGAUUUUAUUGGGACAGUUUUAGAGAUCUGAUACUUAUUUGUAAUUUGCAAAUAUUCUAAGAUGUUGGUCAUUAGAGAACAUAUAUGAAUAAGUGCAUGUGGUAGUUAGGAGAGUGGAAAUGAAUACAAACUAUUAAUGGGUUGUUGCAGAAUAUUCUGACCUUACUGAAUAAACACACAAUACAUAUGCGCACACAUUCAUAGAAUCAGAAAGUCAUGAAAAGGCUGAAUGUAAAACAAAGAGCAUGAGAGACCCAUGUUCUUAAAUUCUAUUAGUACUAAAACUUCCAGUUAACAUUGUAGAAACAUAUAUAUUAGAGAAUUAUGAAUAAACACAGUCCUUGACGUAUGCACAAUCUGAGUUGAUCAAAGGACACUGGCAGAAACAUUAAAAAACUGUGUAAGAUAUUUCACUGCAAUUUUAUAAAUUUCUUCAGUAUAGUAGUAGUGUUUUCCUACUCAUUACAGGAUCUGGGGCCAUCUGCUUUUAAAAUAAUACCUUGCACAUAAUGGGAGAUCUUUACAUAAAGUUUGAAUAAAUUAAGGAAGAAUUAAUUAGCAAGUCCAUUCCUGCUAUGUCAUUUAAGCAAUUUUUUAUUCAUCAAAACAUACUACUUCAAGCUAAUAUUAAAUGGUUUAUAUUCAUGAAACCAUGGGCUAUUACUUAAUUCCUAGAAUUUACCUGCAAAAAAUCAUUGAUUUAUACACUAUACAAGGUAAUAUUCUGGUUCAUUCUCUGGAACAAAUUGCAACUUAAUUGAAAAUAGUAUGAAAGCUAGUAAGUAUAAUUCAAGUGAAAAGCCUUAAAUUCCAUAAGAAUUAAGAACCUUUGGUAAUUAAUAUACCAAACUUUUGGUAUUUGAAAGUGAAAAGAUGUAUUCCUUUAAGAAAAAUAAUAAAGUUGUCAAGAUGAGGAAGAAUUAAACGUACGUAAUAUUGGGCCCUAAUAGAUGAGUGAUGAUAACAGAAAGUAACGUCAAUCAAGACAACAGAACAGUAUGGGGUGUUUUCAGGGAGUAUUAUUUAAUCAACCUGGCGUUCUAAUGAUAGUGACUAUGAAUUAGCAACCUUACUUUGCCCUAAUGUGAGUGGCUUAUUAGAAGAGGCUCAGGUCAGAAGUGGGAUACUAGUGAGCAAGCUGCUGCUAGAGGUAAUGAGGCAAGAAACAGGAUUUUAACAACAUUAGAGAUCUCGUUAAUUCAAACUAAUGGAAAAAAUUGCAGUAACAUAAAAUGUAAAUCUCUCCAACUUUUAAAUUUAUAAUUGGCAGAGAAGGAGAAGCUAUUGAAGAUCUUGAUGCUUUGAAACUGUAUGAGAGGUGUUGUUAUCAAAAGAACUAGCUAGGAGAAAAAAGAAAAUAUACGUUGAUGGUAGCUGUUGGAUUUAGUUCUGGUUUAAAGUAUUUAGACAUGAAUCUGAUCCUGGAUUUCAAAAGGACCUUUAUUGAAAAUGUCAAGUGACAAGAGAUAUUAAGAUGCAUAAGAUUGAACACUACAGCAUCUUCUUUCAAUAAUUUGAUUUACUCACCCUUAUUUAAAGAAUUGAAUCUUUCUGUUCUCAAGCCUCCUUUUCACCAAUUAAUUUGAUUCAGGACAAAAAGUGGUGUUUGAUAUUUUCAACUUUAAAAUAAGUCAAUUUUCCUGCACGCUUAAAUAUUCUGUUAUCUUGAAUUCUAAUGAAGGACCUAUAACUAUGUAUUUAAUAUUUGGUAAAUUUAUACAGAUGUAACAUAU